GCAAACUUGGUCAUUUAGAGGAAGUAAAAGUCGUAACAAGGUUUCCGUAGGUGAACCUGCGGAAGGAUCAUUAAUGGAUUUUUAUAAAGGGGUUAGGUAUAGUGCUGGUCUUUUGACAAGUGCACAUCCUUCCCUGAUCAUCCAAUUUUACCACUGUGAACCUUUAGUAGGGCUGGAAACGGCUCUAUGUUUUUUUACACACCAUGUAUAACCUUUGAAUGUUUUUUCUUUACUUUCAAGUAUGCUUGCAAAGGCAGAAAGAAAAUAAAUAAAUAAAAAAUACAACUUUCAACAACGGAUCUCUUGGCUCUCCCAUCGAUGAAGAACGCAGC
rnacentral:misc_RNA from 1 species